rnacentral:tRNA from 1 species
GGCGAAGUAGUUUAUAUGAAUACCUGAUUUGCAUUUAGGAGGUUCCUUUGUGGGACAUCGUUA